rfam:Gossypium raimondii Chr01_contig_21, whole genome shotgun sequence.
AAUUAAAAAAUUUAUUCAUUUCUACUAUUAAACAUUGGUAUGGCUAAUAGAAUAACCAGACAGAUACAAGUGGUGUGCCCUGUGUACUUUAUUCUGACUUAUAGAUAUCAACUUUUAAUCGUAGAAAUCGAUGGGAUUUUUAACA